UCUGCGAAAGUGGCUGCCCACAAUGGGCAUCCUGAGGCUAAAGAGGGUGUCCUUAGCCCUUGUGAUGGAGGGCCAGUGCUGCUGCAGUGCAUGAAGUCAUGGGCAUACGUAAUCCGGCUAAAGACUGCAUUUAGACAGGGGAAGGGAGGGCAGUAGUGGUAACACUGGCGUUGUUACAGUGGUGUUGGCCGGCUUUAAUUCCUCCACUUAAGCCCGGACCCAGAGUUCCAGUAGUGGCGAAUGUGCAAUCGAAAAUCAACGGUGUUCGCAGGCUUAAGUCAGCCUCUUGAGCCUCCUGAUAGACUGGGUGCACAUACACAAGGAUUUCACAAAAUGUUUGGUUGUGGAAAUUUGGUUUAAAGUUAUGGAAAGGUCAUAGUCCCGCCACUGGACUUGUUUUAUAGACACCCCAAAAAUCCAAGUGAAUAAAAUUAUGUUGCAGGGUGGUCCAUCUAUGAGACAACAGAUGGUGUCUUGUGUUAUGUCCUCCCAGAACUGUCUAAGCGCAUUAGUGAGCUCCUGUAGUCUGAGGAGCAACUUGGCCCUGUCUGAUAGACUGAAAAAUGUUGUGCAUCAGCGUAUAGGGUCGGACUAUGGGUUUCAUCCCGAUACCUAAUGGAAAUUUGUUUGUGAGCCUGUAGUUAUUAUUACCAACAAAUAAAACUAAAUGCACAUAUUUAUUUUGUUUAUUUUAAAACUAGUCAUGUUUUCCUACAAUUGCUAUUGGCUUUCUCAACAUGUUGCUUUGAACAAGAUCGGAUAAUCUGCCUGUCAACUGGCCAAUGAGAAUAGUGCGCGCUCACAUUUCAAAUGACUCUGUUAGAGCGGGAGGCUGCUACCGGAAAGGUGCUCCUCGGCGCCGCAGCGCAGCACGGCUGGAGGAUUUCAACUUCACUUAUGGAUGCGAAUUUGAGUUGUGGGAUGUCAACGGACCAGACUGGAAAAUGAACACACAGGAUCUGUUCACUUCAGUAAAGAGAAUUUAUAUCCUGCAAAGAUAUCAGCAAAGGCCGCUAUGCAGGCCCGUGAGCUCAUGAGAAUGCUGAAGAACCAGGACUGACAACAUGCCACCGGAUUGUGGCGUACAGAAUUAAACCCAGGGACAGAUUAAGCAUUGGAACAACGUGGGGAGAACAGACACGCAACAACACCCAAAGUCCAUCACUAAUGCACUAAGGAUCAGGCUGAUAAGAGGGAUUUUGGACAAUUGGUUUCUAUCUGCACAAUGACUUCUGGUAAAGAUUCAUUGACCUUUUGCGGUAUGUUUUGAUUUUACUUAUUAAUACACUGCUUAGUUGGGAUUCAAAGUGUAAUGUUUGUGCUCAUAUAUUAUCAAAAUUAAAUGGAGCCACCUAGGGUCUGGAGAAUAUUAUGGAUAACUGUAUAAUACUGAAUUGGAAAAAUCCCCUCAGCUCAACAGCCUAAUGUGUUGCUUUCUCCACCUGUUUUUCAAUGGUGAGGUCAACAGUCAAGAUAGAGAAAUGCCAUUUUUAGUUUUUAAAUUCUUCCCAGAGGGCUCUAAAAAGCUGUAUGUAUGAAUAAUCAAUUGAUAUUUGAUAAUUGAAUUUAAAUUUUUAAAUCAAUAGUGGUUUAAUUGAAACAUUGGAAAUCUUCUAGAUGUAUCAAUUUAUCUUGUUAUUUUCACAGUAAAAAUGAAAAGCUUAUAUUUUUUUAAAGAAUGUGUGUUACAAGAAGGAUCUGUAAGAAUCCAGUGUUUGAUGCUAAAACUUUGUAAUAUCCCUUUUUUGAAGCUGUUUGAUCCUAAUAAAAUGGGAAGAAUGUGUAAAGUAACAUUUUUGGCCUCAAAUUGUUUUGUGUUAUCCCUUUAUUGAAAGUGUUUAAUUAUAUUAAUACAAGAGAAAACUGUAGAAUAAU